rnacentral:rRNA from 1 species
GGAAUAUUGGUCAAUGGACGAAAGUCUGAACCAGCCAAGUAGCGUGCAGGAUGACGGCCCUAUGGGUUGUAAACUGCUUUUAUACAGGGAUAAAGUCGGGAACGUGUUCCCGUUUGUAGGUACUGUAUGAAUAAGGACCGGCUAAUUCCGUGCCAGCAGCCGCGGUAAUACGGAAGGUCCGGGCGUUAUCCGGAUUUAUUGGGUUUAAAGGGAGCGCAGGCCGAUGGUUAAGCGUGACGUGAAAUGUAGCCGCUCAACGGCUGAACUGCGUCGCGAACUGGCUGUCUUGAGUGAGUUCGAUGUGGGCGGAAUUCGUGGUGUAGCGGUGAAAUGCUUAGAUAUCACGAAGAACUCCGAUUGCGAAGGCAGCCAACAAGGCCUUUACUGACGCUAAAGCUCGAAGGUGCGGGUAUCGAACA